rnacentral:rRNA from 1 species
GGCCCGCCCUAUAACUCGCAACGGAAAACCCUGCCGCCCUACUGCGUAGCGAGCGAAGAAUAAUACGCUGUAUCGUAAUAGCUCUGUCAAGUGGGAAGAAAUGUAUCAUGGCUAAUAUCCAUGAUACUUGACGGUACCGCUAAAGGAAGCACCGGCUAACUCCGUGCCAGCAGCCGCGGUAAUACGGGGGGUGCAAGCGUUGUUCGGAAUUAUUGGGCGUAAAGAGCGUGUAGGCGGCUGAAUAAGUCAGAUGUGAAAUCCCUGGGCUUAACCCAGGAAGUGCAUUUGAAACUAUUCAGCUUGAGUAGGGGAGAGGAAAGUGGAAUUCCUGGUGUAGAGGUGAAAUNCGUAGAUAUCAGGAGGAACACCGGUGGCGAAGGCGACUUUCUGGCCCUAUACUGACGCUGAGACGCGAAAGCGUGGGUAGCAAACAGGAUUAGAUACCCUGGUAGUCCACGCUGUAAACGAU